UGGGAACGCGAAGAACCUUACCUAGACUUGACAUCUCCUGAAUUACCCUUAAUCGGGAAGCCCUUCGGGCGAGAAGACAGGUGGUGCAUGGUUGUCGUUAGCUCGUGUCGUGAGAUGUUGGGUUAAGUCCCGCAACGAGCGCAGCCCUUAUUGUUAGUUGCUACCAUUUAGUUGAGCACUCUAGCGAGACUGCCCGGGGUUAACCGGGAGGGAGGUGGGGAUGACGUCAAAUCAUCAUGCCCCUUAUGUCUAGGGCUACACACGUGCUACAAUGGCUGGUACAGAGAGAUGCUAAACCGCGAGGUGGAGCCAAACUUUAAAACCAGUCUCAGUUCGGAUUGUAGGCUGAAACUCGCCUACAUGAAGCUGGAGUUGCUAGUAAUCGCGAAUCAGAAUGUCGCGGUGAAUACGUU
rnacentral:rRNA from 1 species